rnacentral:sRNA from 1 species
GCUAGGUGCAGUGGAGCACACCUGUAAUCCUAGCAGCUUGGGAGGCUGAGACAGGAUAAUCAUGAGUUCAAAGCCAGCCUCAGAAACUGAGAGGCAUUAAGCAACUCAGUGAGACCCUGUCUCUA